rnacentral:rRNA from 1 species
GACGAACGCUGGCGGCAUGCCUAAUACAUGCAAGUCGAGCGGACAGAAGGGAGCUUGCUCCUGGAAGUCAGCGGCGGACGGGUGAGUAACACGUGGGCAACCUGCCCUUUAGAUUGGGAUAACUUCGGGAAACCGAAGCUAAUACCGAAUAAUACAAGGAACCUCCUGGUUCUCUGUUGAAAGAUGGCCUUUGUGCUAUCACUAAAGGAUGGGCCCGCGGGGCAUUAGCUAGUUGGUAAGGUAACGGCUUACCAAGGCGACGAGGCUUAGCCGACCUGAGAGGGUGAUCGGCCACACUGGGACUGAGACACGGCCCAGACUCCUACGGGAGGCAGCAGUAGGGAAUCUUCCGCAAUGGACGAAAGUCUGACGGAGCAAUGCCGCGUGAGUGAGGAAGGCCUUCGGGUCGUAAAGCUCUGUUGUGAGGGAAGAACAAGUACCGGCGUAACUACCGGUACCGUGACGGUACCUCACCAGAAAGCCACGGCUAACUACGUGCCAGCCGCCGCCGUAA